rnacentral:sRNA from 1 species
AAUUAGGGAUGUGGACUUUGGAGCCCGUACACCUCCGUUUGCUCCUUAGUCCAUGAGCCCAUGCGACUUUGAGUGCUUCACCUCUCUGUGUUUUAACUUUUCAUCUCUAAAAGGGACAUUGGGCCGGGUGCAGUGGCUCACGCCUGUAAUCCCAGCACUUUGAGAGGCCGAGGCAGGUGGAUCACCUGAGGUCGGGAGUUCAAGACCAGCCUGGCCAACAUGGUGAAACGCUGUCUCUACUAAAAAUACAAAAAUUAGCUGGGCAUCCCCCCUGAUGAGAGCCCCCGCCGGGGCGGUCCUGCUGGGCCCUACCAGCAAUCUCAGCGGUUGGAGCUGUAUGCCCAGGCCACAGAAGCGCUGCUGAAGACCGGAGCUGCUUACCCCUGUUUCUGCUCACCCCAGCGGCUGGAGCUCCUGAAGAAGGAGGCCUUGCGGAACCACCAGACGCCCCGGUAUGACAAUCGGUGCAGGAACAUGAGCCAGGAGCAGGUGGCCCAGAAGCUGGCCAAGGACCCCAAGCCUGCAAUCCGCUUCCGCCU